GAGUGGUGUUUGGUUUGUCACGUGUGGUUGGCUGCGGCGUUUGCAACAACUUCCAUGCUUUCAGACCUCUUCAGUUGUGCGGCAAGGCUUGUAUCGCCAUGUCCGUAUCGUGGGUUUUCUGUGUUGAAUACCUAAUCAAUGGUAUCGGUUGGAUUGAUAAAUGUGUCAUUUCGUCUGUCGUCGCAUUCGCGGCGUGAGACGAACCUUGAUGCGGUCUCUUUGGCCCACCUCGUCGAAGCACAUGCUUUGACGUUGUGGCACAUUGAGCAUUGCUUGGUCUCUUGUAUACGGAACAUAUAGUGGGCAUGGAUCUAACGAUUCUUGUUUGCCCUCUUGUUAGCGUAACGCUUCUCUUACACGACUUGCUCCACGUUUUAGCUCGUACGGACGUGGUGCUAUGUCGAAGAGGAAUGCUACCUGGU
rnacentral:misc_RNA from 2 species